ACGCUGGCGGCAUGCUUUACACAUGCAAGUCGGACGGCAGCACAGAGAAGCUUGCUUCUUGGGUGGCGAGUGGCGAACGGGUGAGUAAUAUAUCGGAACGUACCGAGUAAUGGGGGAUAGCUAAUCGAAAGAUUAGCUAAUACCGCAUAUUCUCUGAGGAGGAAAGCAGGGGACCUUCGGGCCUUGCGUUAUUCAAGCGGCCGAUAUCCGAUUAGCUAGUUGGUGGGGUAAAGGCCUACCAAGGCGACGAUCAGUAGCGGGUCUGAGAGGAUGAUCCGCCACACUGGGACUGAGACACGGCCCAGACUCCUACGGGAGGCAGCAGUGGGGAAUUUUGGACAAUGGGCGCAAGCCUGAUCCAGCCAUGCCGCGUGUCUGAAGAAGGCCUUCGGGUUGUAAAGGACUUUUGUCAGGGAAGAAAAGGCUGUUGCUAAUACCGACAGCUGAUGACGGUACCUGAAGAAUAAGCACCGGCUAACUACGUGCCAGCAGCCGCGGUAAUACGUAGGGUGCGAGCGUUAAUCGGAAUUACUGGGCGUAAAGCGAGCGCAGACGGUUACUUAAGCAGGAUGUGAAAUCCCGGGCUCAACCUGGGAACUGCGUUCUGAACUGGGUGACUAGAGUGUGUCAGAGGGAGGUAGAAUUCCACGUGUAGCAGUGAAAUGCGUAGAGAUGUGGAGGAAUACCGAUGGCGAAGGCAGCCUCCUGGGAUAACACUGACGUUCAUGCUCGAAAGCGUGGGUAGCAAACAGGAUUAGAUACCCUGGUAGUCCACGCCCUAAACGAUGUCAAUUAGCUGUUGGGCAACUUGAUUGCUUAGUAGCGUAGCUAACGCGUGAAAUUGACCGCCUGGGGAGUACGGUCGCAAGAUUAAAACUCAAACGAAUUGACGGGGACCCGCACAAGCGGUGGAUGAUG
rnacentral:rRNA from 1 species